GAAGCGGCAACAGCUCAAAUUUGAAAUCUGGCCCUCUUCGGGGGUCCGAGUUGUAAUUUGCAGAGGGUGCUUUGGCGUCGGCAGCGGUCUAAGUUCCUUGGAACAGGACAUCACAGAGGGUGAGAAUCCCGUACGUGGUCGCCUGCCUUCGCCGUGUAAAGCCCCUUCGACGAGUCGAGUUGUUUGGGAAUGCAGCUCUAAAUGGGAGGUAAAUUUCUUCUAAAGCUAAAUACUGGCCAGAGACCGAUAGCGCACAAGUAGAGUGAUCGAAAGAUGAAAAGCACUUUGGAAAGAGAGUCAAACAGCACGUGAAAUUGUUGAAAGGGAAGCGCUUGCAGCCAGACUUGCCCGCAGUUGCUCACCCGGGUCCGCCCGGGGCACUCUUCUGCGGGCAGGCCAGCAUCAGUUUGGGCGACCGGAUAAAGGCCUCUGUCAUGUAUCUUCCUUCGGGAUGACCUUAUAGGGGAGGCGUAAUGCGGCCAGCCCGGACUGAGGUCCGCGCAUCUGCUAGGAUGCUGGCGUAAUGGCUGUAAGCGGCCCGUCUUGAAACACGGACCAAGGAGUCUAACAUCUAUGCGAGUGUUUGGGUGUCAAGCCCGGGCGCGUAAUGAAAGUGAACGGAGGUGGGAACCCUCUCCGGGGGGUGCACCAUCGACCGAUCCUGAUGUCUUCGGAUGGAUUUGAGU
rnacentral:rRNA from 1 species